rnacentral:lncRNA from 1 species
CUCCCCGGCUCCGCGCAGCAGGCGGGCGGGGCGCACGGCGCGCGGCGCGCAGGGACACCCGGCUGCUCCGUGACCCCCGAAGAGUCCCGGGGUUCCACAGCCCGCUGUCUCUGCCCCCCCCCCCGGGGACACCCUCGGCCGUCCCGUGACCCUCUCGGGUCCCCUGGCCCCUCCCAGGUUCCCAGCUCCCGCCGCGAACGCGUGGGAGGGGCGUGACAGCUCGGGCGCCCCCGCCGAGCGGUGAUUCCCACGGUGCCGCCGGGGCUAUGCCCGGAAGCCCCUUCUAGAGUCCCCCGUCCCGCGGCCCGGGCGGGGGCGGCGCAGCAUGCUCGGCAUGAAGACCUGGUCGUCCCUGCUCCAGGAUCUCAGUAAGUGCCCGGCGCCC